rnacentral:sRNA from 1 species
CAUUUUCUGCUUUCCUCAACUGGGUUUUCCUUCGUCGUCGUUGUGCGCUCUGAUUUCUCUCAAUUUCUUCCUUUUCGUUUCGCGAAAUUAUCUCCGGCGAGACACGAUCUUUGAUUUUUGCAAUCAUUGUUGGCUGUUCUUCUCUGUUUUUGGCUGCCAUCCGUACGUUGGAUCGAUUUCGUCUUUUUCACCGUUUUGUUUCAGCCUGUCUGUUGAGAGAAUUUUUACGUAUUAAGGUUUCUAUUUUUUUGGAACUUUAGUAUGCAGCUUUGGAAGACAUUUAUGCUUAAGGCUUUAGCGCCGUCGUUUUCCGAAGCCCUCUCAAGUUGUCGAGGAUAUGCAGGGAGAGCAAGUAAAAAGAUUGUAUUCACUGUGUUGACGCAUUAUUGAACAAGAGACCCAAAAGGAAGGACAUAUUCGAUCUCAAGGAUGCGAAUCAUUGCUUCUUUAGAAAAGAUUAAGGAAGUGACGGCACAAAAGCUUCAUAGAAAAAGUAUCAGCUUUUGACUCAAAUUUCAACGGUGCCCCUAUCAUUUCUCCGAAAAUCAAAGCAACCCCAAGCAAUUCCGGAAUCAUUUUUAUGUGUCCCAAAAUCCAUGAUGUUGCAGCAAAGGAAAUAUCAGACACGACUCUUACUCCAAAGGCUCCAACCAGAAAUGUAUCAGAUUCCCCAAUCAUUUCUGAAACCAUAUUUAUGGCUGCAAAACAGAGUAUGUAUACCCUUUCAUUGUUCUCUACUUUUUGAAUUUUUAACGACCUAUUAAACAUGAUCUCUUUAUCCCAUUCGCUUAAAACUCAAAUAGUUCACUAGAUUUCUUUAUCAUAGUAUCUUUCGACCAUCUUUUGUAUGUAGGUAGGACAAUUUCGUAAAUCUUUGGUAUGUAAAUAUUAUAUACAUAUGCUUCAAGCAUUCACUUUUGUAUGUAAAUAGGAUUAUCUACCAAAUCUUUUGCACGGAAAAACGAAAUUAUAAACUUCUUAACUUUUUUAAAUAGAAAUAUCAGGGCAUGAGAAAAUCCCGCAUACAAAGGAAGCUGUAUGAGCCCAAAUACAGACACAGGAAGAAAGGCAGCAACAUAAAGGAGAGACCUUGUCAAUUCCUCAUCGAGAUGAAUCAAGAGCACAGCUGUAGCGGUGAACACGAGCAUGGUCGUCACUAGCGAGAAGAAAAGAAAGGCAAAUCCUAAAUGCAGCCUGAGCGGAAGAGAUUGAUGGAAGUUUUUGUACUCAAACGGAGAUGUCAAGAUCGAGAGAAACGUGACGAGAGAAGACAAUGAGCUGAUGAGCGAGACAACAUCUGUGAUGAUAAAGGUAGUGAAGAAGGGAGAAUGUCGAAGAACAGGAGCACCGCCUGAACUGUAACCCCCGGGAGCAGUGUAGGCGGCUGCAAAGACCACAGUGGCCACUAGAGCUGCCACGGCCGAGCAUGACUGAGCAGUGCCUCUUAUCCAUGUUUGUGCCGAAUGAAGAAGCUUUGCAUGCUCAGUAUUGAAGAGCUCCUCCGCUGUCAUACCCAUGUUGUUGCGGUGCAUCAUGUAAUGAGGAGGCAUUAUCUUUCUCACGCGCUACCAACAAAUUGGACCACUUACACUUUGAGUGUCUGGAGAGUAA